rnacentral:lncRNA from 1 species
AUUACAGCCGGUUGUUUUACAAGCUCACAACCCAACUUGUUGUUCUACGAGAUCACAACGAACUCGGUCGGUUUUCACAGGCUCACCGACUCGAACCAACCGAUUGUUUUCACGGGCUCACAAUCCAACCCGGUUGGUUUUCCCAAAGGCUCACCAACCACAACCUUACAACGUUGGUUUUUCCCUUUGGCUCACCAACAAACCUUAACCCCUUGAUUCAAUCCCUUGAUUGAAUCAAGUUACAAGAUAUUAGAAUAAAGGUUUAAAACAAAUCAAAGCUUCUUAAACAAGCAAAUAUAACAAUAUAAACAAUAGAACCCGCAAGAACCCUUUUAGCCGUUGGAAGCGUGGGAGAUGAUGGUUCUUCCGAUGUGGAUCGCGUUGGCUUGAAUGUGAGCUUUGAAUGCCAAACGG